rnacentral:rRNA from 1 species
AGAGUUUGAUCCUGGCUCAGGAUGAACGCUGGCGGCGUGCCUAACACAUGCAAGUCGAGCGAUCUUCUUCGGAAGAGAGCGGCGGACGGGUGAGUAACGCGUGGGUAACCUGCCUCAUACACAUGGAUAACAUACCGAAAGGUAUGCUAAUACAAGAUGAUAUAAGAGAUUCGCAUGGAUUUCUUAUCAAAGCUCCGGCGGUAUGAGAUGGACCCGCGUCUGAUUAGCUAGUUGGUAAGGUAACGGCUUACCAAGGCGACGAUCAGUAGCCGACCUGAGAGGGUGAUCGGCCACAUUGGAACUGAGACACGGUCCAAACUCCUACGGGAGGCAGCAGUGGGGAAUAUUGCACAAUGGGCGAAAGCCUGAUGCAGCAACGCCGCGUGAGCGAUGAAGGCCUUCGGGUCGUAAAGCUCUGUCCUCAAGGAAGAUAAUGACGGUACUUGAGGAGGAAGCCCCGGCUAACUACGUGCCAGCAGCCGCGGUAAUACGUAGGGGGCUAGCGUUAUCCGGAUUUACUGGGCGUAAAGGGUGCGUAGGUGGUUUCUUAAGUCAGGAGUGAAAGGCUACGGCUCAACCGUAGUAAGCUCUUGAAACUGGGAAACUUGAGUGCAGGAGAGGAAAGUGGAAUUCCUAGUGUAGCGGUGAAAUGCGUAGAUAUUAGGAGGAACACCAGUAGCGAAGGCGGCUUUCUGGACUGUAACUGACACUGAGGCACGAAAGCGUGGGGAGCAAACAGGAUUAGAUACCCUGGUAGUCCACGCCGUAAACGAUGAGUACUUAGGUGUCGGGGGUUACCCCCCUCGGUGCCGCAGCU